CGUUUUCCCUGUAUCCUAUUGGGGACCACAGCAUUGUGAGGAAGUUACUAUGUGUAUUACGGAAAUAAGAGUGGGAAGCUAUGCUCAUGAACUUGACGGUGAAAUACUGUUGUGCCCAAGAUUGCGAAUCUGAGAAACCACCGAGAAGCCGACAGCGAUGAAAACACACGAGGGUUUACUUACAAGCUCGAGCUUGUGUCCAAUUAUACCCGACAGAGCGGAGCAGGGAGUUGGACCCCGAGACUGUUGUGCCCAAGAUUGCGAAUCUGAGAAAUCACCGAGAAGCCAACACCAAUGCA